rnacentral:rRNA from 1 species
UACGGAGGAUCCAAGCGUUAUCCGGAUUUAUUGGGUUUAAAGGGUGCGUAGGCGGCCUAUUAAGUCAGGGGUGAAAGACGGUAGCUUAACUAUCGCAGUGCCUUUGAUACUGAUGGGCUUGAAUGAACUAGAGGUAGGCGGAAUGUGACAAGUAGCGGUGAAAUGCAUAGAUAUGUCACAGAACACCAAUUGCGAAGGCAGCUUACUAUGGUUUUAUUGACGCUGAGGCACGAAAGCGUGGGAGUCAACAGAAUGAGAACCUACGUACGUCAGA